AUGCCAUCUUGCUCGAGGUGGUCACGUGCGGGCUACAGUGGCGCGCUUCGCCGGGGAUGGACGGAUCAGGGACUUCGCCGGGUCCUGAACCGCUCGGUCCAGAAGCCAAGGAAGAUUCUGGGACCAGCUCUUGGAUUUUUAAGGAUCAGAAUUUUCACAGCAUCCUUACUGUUACCACUUUGGUUUCAGUUGUCAUUCAAGCUUAUUUGGCUGGUUAUUGUCUUCUGCUCUUGUCCAGUACCGUCUAUUGCUGAUACUGCUGGACUCCAGUGAUAGAUCCUUGGAUGUCCACUGGACAGAAACUUUGAACUUUAGAUCCAUCUUCAUAUCAGCAGAGCCUCAGCUUUUUCAUUAUUUGAGGAAGGGAUAGCCCAUGUGCUGUGGAGAUGAACGGGGAGCAGCGUCUGGAUGCAGGUAUUGGUUUUGCUAAAUCCCUUUCCAGUGUGCAGAUGCAGCAUAUUUGCCUGUGUUAGUUUGAAUGACUUGUGUUUUCUACUACUAAACUAGAAGCUCUUUGAAGUCAUGUAUUUUUCAUUGCUGUCUCUUGGGCCUGACAGAGAACCUGGCACUAGGACUACAAUUACUGUUUGCUGAAGAAAAAAAAAAAAGUUUUUUUAUGAACAGGCCUUAUUUUCUAAAUAAUUGGAUUUUGCUGAUUAUGUUAUUGUUUUUAAAUUCCUUAUGAG
ensembl:lincRNA